GGGAAAUGAUGAGUGGAUUGAUCUCGCUAUGUUGAUGCGAGUUGGGUGUCCACCCUAAGCCUGGUUACGACAAUGGGGCGUUCUCCAUUUUUCCAAUCUGAUCCC